rnacentral:RNase_P_RNA from 1 species
CGAGGCGGACGGGCGACCGCUGCGGGUCGGUGCGAGCCGACCUUGUGGAGGAAAGUCCGAGCACCAACGGGCAAGGGCGCCUGCUAACGGCAGGGCGGGGCGACCCGACGGAAAGUGCAACAGAAAGAAUACCGCUUUCGAUGUGGGCUACUAGCCCGUUUUCAUCGAGAGUAAGGGCGAACGGGUGCGGUAAGAGCGCACCGCGUCGGCGGUAACGUCGGCGGCAGUGCAAACCCCGCUCGGUGCAAGGCCAAAUAGGGGGGCGUUAAGAUGAUUGUCCGCAUCAGCUCCCGGGUAGGCCGCAAGAGGUCAUGGGCGACCGUGAUCGCAGAUGGAUGGUCGCACAGGGUUGGCGGUUGAGGGAAGAAGGCUGCGAAGCCGUAAACCUCGCCGCGGUCUGGACAGAACUCGGCUUAUAGUCCGCCUCGCUGA